rnacentral:rRNA from 1 species
AGCCCAGCUUGCUGGGUGGAUUAGUGGCGAACGGGUGAGUAACACGUGAGCAACCUGCCCCUGACUCUGGGAUAAGCGCUGGAAACGGCGUCUAAUACUGGAUACGAGUAGCGAUCGCAUGGUCAGUUACUGGAAAGAUUUUUUGGUUGGGGAUGGGCUCGCGGCCUAUCAGCUUGUUGGUGAGGUAAUGGCUCACCAAGGCGUCGACGGGUAGCCGGCCUGAGAGGGUGACCGGCCACACUGGGACUGAGACACGGCCCAGACUCCUACGGGAGGCAGCAGUGGGGAAUAUUGCACAAUGGGCGGAAGCCUGAUGCAGCAACGCCGCGUGAGGGAUGACGGCCUUCGGGUUGUAAACCUCUUUUAGCAGGGAAGAAGCGAGAGUGACGGUACCUGCAGAAAAAGCGCCGGCUAACUACGUGCCAGCAGCCGCGGUAAUACGUAGGGCGCAAGCGUUAUCCGGAAUUAUUGGGCGUAAAGAGCUCGUAGGCGGUUUGUCGCGUCUGCUGUGAAAUCCCGAGGCUCAACCUCGGGCCUGCAGUGGGUACGGGCAGACUAGAGUGCGGUAGGGGAGAUUGGAAUUCCUGGUGUAGCGGUGGAAUGCGCAGAUAUCAGGAGGAACACCGAUGGCGAAGGCAGAUCUCUGGGCCGUAACUGACGCUGAGGAGCGAAAGGGUGGGGAGCAAACAGGCUUAGAUACCCUGGUAGUCCACCCCGUAAACGUUGGGAACUAGUUGUGG